GGUAGAAAAACAUUAUCAUAUUAGAAAAUAGGGUUGUUUAAUUUCUUUGUAUUUGCCCAUGUUACUGCGUUGGUGUUUCCUUUGAAUGUACAUGGUAUUAUAAUGAAUUUAGAGAGGAUCUACUAUUUUUUAAACAAGAGUGCUCCUGUUAAUUAGUUACAAUGUAACUAUAGUCUAGGAGUUAGGUGUAUUAAAUAUUAUUUGUGUAGUUUGACCUGGUUUUUAUAAAAUAAAAAAUGGGCUCUUGUUAAGGACUCUUCUCCAGUAAAGGAUUUUGAUAUAUUAUAGAAAUAUAGAAUAAGCAUGAGGGAGAAAGAAGAGAUUAAAAAAGGUGCCAGCAAUCGCGGUUAAACCAUUUAUCAUCAAGCCAAUGAACUUAAAUCGUAUAAAAGUGAUAGUAAAAUAAAAAACGUAAUUAAUUCACAAUAGAAACGGUAAAAUGUUCUAUAUAUAAGAUAUAAAUCUUAUUGUGGUGAUAUCUUAAUAAUGGUUUUAAAAAUAUAAUCUACUAAGGCUGCUUUCGAAGACAGGGAUUUGUACCCAAUUAUUAAAGCUUUUUAUUUGGUGUACGGGUACUACGAGCUAUUAUGCUUAAAAACCGAAGAGGUUGGCGGUGUUUCAAAUCCGGUUAGGGGAACUUGGCGAUUAAAUCGAUAAGCCUCGAGAAUUUUACCUUUAGUUUUCUUUAUAUACCGCCGUUGAGAUCUGCCUUAGGUGGAUAAGAACUUAUACUUAAAAUAAAUAAUAGUUAGAUUUAGUGUAAUAUAAUAUUAGUGUUAUUAGAGUAAUUUUUAUAGAAAUUCAGGUAAACGUGUAGGGUCUAAAGGGUUUAGCUGAGUUACAAUUUUUAUAAAAUACGGAUAUAUAUAGUUAAAUACAUAUCUAUUUAUAUUGAAGGUGUACUUAUUAGUAAAAAUUUUUUAUAAAAGAAUUUUGAAUAGAGUUAUGAGAUGCGUACAAAUCGCCCGGCACUCUCAUAUAAAGAAGUUGAGAUAAGUCGUAACAUAGUAAUGCUAGUAGAAACUGGUGUUAAGUAAUAUUUAUUAUUAUGUAUUUUAAUAAAAUACUUUUCCUAAUUAGGAGGAUUAAGGUUUAAUUACACACAAUAUUAAUUUAGGGUAAUAGUAACAUAAUUUAUGGGGUUGGUGUUAAAAACAAAUUAGUAAAUUUAAAUAGUAAAAUUAGUAGUUUUAGAGUAGAUGCGGGUACUAGGUACUUGCGAACGGGUGGACCAAGUUUUAAAAGAUGA
rnacentral:rRNA from 1 species